UGGGGAAUUUUGGACAAUGGGGGAAACCCUGAUCCAGCCAUCCCGCGUGUGCGAUGAAGGCCUUCGGGUUGUAAAGCACUUUUGGCAGGAAAGAAACGUCAUGGGUUAAUACCCCGUGAAACUGACGGUACCUGCAGAAUAAGCACCGGCUAACUACGUGCCAGCAGCCGCGGUAAUACGUAGGGUGCAAGCGUUAAUCGGAAUUACUGGGCGUAAAGCGUGCGCAGGCGGUUCGGAAAGAAAGAUGUGAAAUCCCAGAGCUCAACUUUGGAACUGCAUUUUUAACUACCGGGCUAGAGUGUGUCAGAGGGAGGUGGAAUUCCGCGUGUAGCAGUGAAAUGCGUAGUUAUGCGGAGGAACACCGAUGGCGAAGGCAGCCUCCUGGGAUAACACUGACGCUCAUGCACGAAAGCGUGGGGAGCAAACAGG
rnacentral:rRNA from 1 species